rnacentral:rRNA from 1 species
UACAGAGGUGGCAAGCGUUGUUCGGAAUUACUGGGCGUAAAGGGCGCGUAGGCGGUUCGAUAAGUCCCGUGUGAAAGCCCCCGGCUCAACUGGGGAACUGCACGGGAAACUGACGGACUUGAGUUCGGGAGAGGGAAGCGGAAUUCCGGGUGUAGCGGUGAAAUGCGUAGAUAUCCGGAGGAACACCGGUGGCGAAGGCGGCUUCCUGGACCGGUAUUGACGCUGAGGCGCGAAAGCCAGGGGAGCAAACGGG